rnacentral:sRNA from 1 species
UAUUGAGAUUGACUCUCACUUUAAUACCUAAAUUUUUGUUUUCAAUUUGCUUAAUUUUGAUACGUUUCUCAGCUAAUCUUCAAGCCAUCUUGCCAUUAGUUAAGUUUUAUUUCUGUUAAUGAAUCUAUUGAAACUGAUUUGCAAUCUUAACCCCUAGGUGGUUGAAAAUUAUCAAUGUCGAAGGAUCAGUUGGACUUUAUUAAGUAGAUUAAGUAAUGUUUUGUUGUGUUUUUUGUCCAUUCUAUUUAUUUCGAUUUCCUGUAAAAGGGGAAUAUGUUGACAUUCAUUUUGUUACCAGUUACCAUGGUUUUUUCCUCCUGUCAUUUUGAUUUGGUUGACUAUCUAUGUAUAGUGGAGUGAUUUUUUUUUCACCAGCGCACCGUCCUAUGAUGGUGUUAUGUAUGCAAUAAACUUGAAAUGUUU